rnacentral:rRNA from 1 species
UACGGGGGGGGCAAGCGUUGUUCGGAAUUACUGGGCGUAAAGGGCGCGUAGGCGGUUCGCUAAGUUGAAUGGGAAAACUCUGGGCUUAACCCAGAGCCUGCAUUCAAUACUGGCGGGCUAGAGUUCUGGAGGGGAUAGCGGAAUUCCUGGUGUAGCGGUGAAAUGCGUAGAUAUCAGGAGGAACACCGGUGGCGAAGGCGGCUAUCUGGACAGAGUCUGACGCUGAGGCGCGAAAGCUAGGGGAGCAAACAGG